rnacentral:rRNA from 1 species
GAGUUUGAUCGUGGCUCAGAAUCAACGCUGGCGGCGUGCCUAACACAUGCAAGUCGAACGCGAAAGUCCCGCAAGGGGCAAGUAGAGUGGCAAACGGGUGAGUAACGCGUGGGUGACCUGCCUUCGAGCGGGGGAUAACGUCCCGAAAGGGACGCUAAUACCGCAUAACAUCCUGCCUUUGAAGAGGUGGAGAUCAAAGCUGGGGAUUCGCAAGAACCCGGCACUUGAAGAGGGGCCCGCGUCUGAUUAGCUAGUUGGUGAGGUAACGGCUCACCAAGGCUUCGAUCAGUAGCCGGCCUGAGAGGGCGGACGGCCACACUGGGACUGAGACACGGCCCAGACUCCUACGGGAGGCAGCAGUGGGAAUUGUUCGCAAUGGGCGCAAGCCUGACGACGCAACGCCGCGUGGAGGAUGAAGACUUUCGGGUCGUAAACUCCUGUCGAACGGGACGAAAGUACUGCGGUUAAUACUCCGCAGUCGUGACGGUACCGUUAAAGG